UACGAAGGGGGCUAGCGUUGUUCGGAGUUACUGGGCGUAAAGGGCGCGUAGGCGGCUCACCAAGUCAGGCGUGAAAGCCCUGGGCUCAACCCGGGAAUUGCGCUUGAGACUGGUGUGCUUGAGUACGGGAGAGGAUAGUGGAAUUCCCAGUGUAGAGGUGAAAUUCGUAGAUAUUGGGAAGAACACCGGUGGCGAAGGCGGCUAUCUGGACCGUAACUGACGCUGAGGCGCGAAAGCGUGGGGAGCAAACAGG
rnacentral:rRNA from 1 species